AAAGUCGUAACAAGGUUUCCGUAGGUGAACCUGCGGAAGGAUCAUUAUCCAUCUCAACCAGGUGCGGUCGCGGCCCCCGGGAGUUCUCUCCUGGGUGGUAGGGGUAAUACCCUCACGCGCCGCAUUCCUGAAUCCUUUUUUUACGAGCACCUUUCGUUCUCCUUCGGUGGGGUAACCUGCCGCUGGAACUUAACAAACCCUUUUUUUGCAUCUAGCAUUACCUGUUCUGAUAACCACAAUCGUUACAACUUUCAACAAUGGAUCUCUUGGCUCUG
rnacentral:misc_RNA from 1 species